rnacentral:rRNA from 1 species
UACGGAGGAUGCAAGCGUUAUCCGGAAUGAUUGGGCGUAAAGCGUCCGCAGGUGGCUAUGUAAGUCAACUGUUAAAUCUUGAGGCUCAACCUCAAAAUCGCAGUCGAAACUAUUAGGCUAGAGUAUAGUAGGGGUAAAGGGAAUUUCCAGUGGAGCGGUGAAAUGCGUAGAGAUUGGAAAGAACACCGAUGGCGAAGGCACUUUACUGGGCUAUUACUAACACUCAGAGACGAAAGCUAGGGUAGCAAAUGGG